rnacentral:rRNA from 1 species
UACGAAGGGGGCUAGCGUUGCUCGGAAUCACUGGGCGUAAAGGGUGCGUAGGCGGGUCUUUAAGUCAGGGGUGAAAUCCUGGAGCUCAACUCCAGAACUGCCUUUGAUACUGAGGAUCUUGAGUUCGGGAGAGGUGAGUGGAACUGCGAGUGUAGAGGUGAAAUUCGUAGAUAUUCGCAAGAACACCAGUGGCGAAGGCGGC